UACGGUGGGGGCUAGCGUUGUUCGGAAUUACUGGGCGUAACGCGCGUAGGCGGCUUUGUAAGUUAGAGGUGAAAGCCCAGAGCUCAACUCUGGAAUUGCCUUUAAGACUGCAUCGCUAGAAUCGUGGAGAGGUGAGUGGAAUUCCGAGUGUAGAGGUGAAAUUCGUAGAUAUUCGGAAGAACACCAGUGGCGAAGGCGACUCACUGGACACGUAUUGACGCUGAGGUGCGAAAGCGUGGGGAGCAAACAGG
rnacentral:misc_RNA from 1 species